rnacentral:rRNA from 1 species
ACGGCAGCACGGGUGCUUGCACCUGGUGGCGAGUGGCGAACGGGUGAGUAAUGUAUCGGAACGUAUCCGGAAGUGGGGGAUAGCCCGGCGAAAGCCGGAUUAAUACCGCAUAUGCCCUGAGGGGGAAAGUGGGGGACCGCAAGGCCUCAUGCUUUCGGAGUGGCCGAUAUCGGAUUAGCUAGUAGGUUAGGUAAAGGCUGACCUAGGCGACGAUCCGUAGCGGGUCUGAGAGGAUGAUCCGCCACACUGGGACUGAGACACGGCCCAGACUCCUACGGGAGGCAGCAGUGGGGAAUUUUGGACAAUGGGGGCAACCCUGAUCCAGCCAUGCCGCGUGAGUGAAGAAGGCCUUCGGGUUGUAAAGCUCUUUCGGACGGAAAGAAAUUGCCAUCUCUAACAUAGGUGGUGGAUGACGGUACCGUAAGAAGAAGCACCGGCUAACUACGUGCCAGCAGCCGCGGUAAUACGUAGGGUGCGAGCGUUAAUCGGAAUUACUGGGCGUAAAGCGUGCGCAGGCGGUUUUGUAAGACAGGCGUGAAAUCCCCGGGCUUAACCUGGGAACUGCGCUUGUGACUGCAAGGCUAGAGUGCGGCAGAGGGGGGUAGAAUUCCACGUGUAGCAGUGAAAUGCGUAGAGAUGUGGAGGAAUACCGAUGGC